UACGGGGGGGGGGCAAGCGUUGUUCGGAAUUACUGGGCGUAAAGGGCUCGUAGGCGGCCAACUAAGUCGGACGUGAAAUCCCUCGGCUUAACCGGGGAACUGCGUCCGAUACUGGAUGGCUUGAGUGUGGGAGAGGGAUGCGGAAUUCCAGGUGUAGCGGUGAAAUGCGUAGAUAUCUGGAGGAACACCGGUGGCGAAGGCGGCAUCCUGGACCACGACUGACGCUGAGUGAGCGAAAGCCAGGGGAGCAAACGGG
rnacentral:rRNA from 1 species